UCGGGAGUCAUUGACGUGACAGUGCCCAUGAACUUUCUUGUGAGUGACUCCGGGGAGCUCAAGCUCCAUGAGGGAGUGAAGAAAUCAGGGAUCAUGGGCUUUUGCGAUCCAUGUCCCGACCAACCUAAGCAGCUAUACGUUGCCUAUACUUACAAUUCUCGUACUUUUGAGGCAAUUGUGGGUGACUUUGAAGAGAUGGUUAUACCACAAGCUGGCCAGUGAGUAUGAAAAACUUUGUUGUUUUAAUUAUAUACGCAUAAGUUUAUUUGGGGUUUUGUAACUUCCAGUUUCAUGUUUAUUGAUCACAACUUGCCUUUGAGGCUCCUUUUUUUACACUUUCAUUUUUCAAUAAAUUAAGCAUUCUUGUUUGCUAUGAAAUUUAAAUUGAUUUUCAUUUACAUAUGUAGUUUAUUGUCAAAUAAGUUUUGUUUUUUAUUGAUAAAUUAGAAAUAUAUUUAUUGUAAAUCAAGAUGUUUAAGAUUUAAUGACAUUAUAUAGCAAUGAAUGAUGUCACUUUUGUAGCUAAUAGAUUUGGUGGAAAGGUUGGUUAACCCAAAAAAUAUAAAUUAAACAUUGACCAUGUGAACUAUGUGUGUGUUACAUACCAUCACCCUGCAUGAUAUUAAUUGCUUUGUACCACUAUUGAUUAGUGAAAUGAGUUUGGCAGUAAGUGAUAGAACUUAAAGUGUAUUUGGACAUAAACAAAUGGAGAAUAUUGAGCGAAGGAAGAGGUUAAGUGGUCGGAAAAAGCGUUUGGCGUUAUGGGAGAGAGUUUGAGAGGCGACGUUCUUCACUUGUUGAUGAGAAACCAAACGUGGUUUAAAGUCACCUCGUGCCAUGACCUGCUUGUUCUUCACAUCAACCACAUAUUCUUCUAUUCCUGUCAAAUCCCAUUUUAAUUAUUGAAUUUCAUUACAUAAUAUCGAUUAUGACAAAUAGGAUUAAACAAUAGGUCGUGAAUGAUUCUAAUUAGUACUUCUUAAGAGAGAUUAAGGACGAAUGUAAACGGUAGGUAGCAGCCAAGGAAUUAGCAUAACUAAAGAUACUUUAUUAGCAAGUUGCUUGUGGGUUUAAUAAAUAAUCCUAUUUAUAAACACAUUUAUUCAUGAAACACAUAUUUGGUGGUAAAAUGUACGUAGAGAGCUCACCGGUCAUCUUGGAGACAAUCUUAGAGACUCUGUCUUGACAAUGGUCACAUCCCACAUCUGCGUUUACCACUAUAACUUGAAACUGAAUUUUAUUCCCCAUGUUAAUAUUUUGUUUAGCAUGUUUCUAUAUACAUGUUGCUUUAGUACUUUACACUCGAACUAAAAAGAACAAAAAUAAUAAAGAUCUUCUCAAAACACAAGUUGACUGUUCAGUUUUGAAAGAAGAGAAGAAUGAUCAUGAAGAUGAUUGCAAUGAUUUGUUGUUUUUCCUAUUUUGGUGUAAAGAUGCAUGAAUGAUUGGUUAAGAGACGAAUGUAUUAUGCAUAUGACGUACCGAAGGAAGUGAGAGUUCCUCACAGAGCAUGAGGGUGCGCAGCCGCAUGGCCUGCAUCGCCGGCUCCUUUAUUUCCGUCCCACGAGGCCGGCUUGCUGUAAAUAUAUCUAUGUAAUCUGCUUAUUCGUGUAUGUAAAGGGUUCUUAUAUAUGGUUUUGCAUUCUGACUGUUCCACCUCGAGCAAGUCUCUUACUUUCUGUAUUUAUGAUCUUGCUAUUACUAGAUUGAGACUGGUGGACUCGGAGCGUCAGCACGUUAUACUCGCAAGCUUUCGUCCAAGUCUCACGGUCGAAUUGCUGGUAGAAUUGGAAGGUAUGCGUUAUUAACAUAUAACUUUGAGCAAUCUAAUGUAUGAUUGAUUUCUCAUUUGACUUGGGAUAAGUUUUUAAAAACUUUUUCAGCAAUGCUCUUGAGAUUGAGGUCGGUGGUGGAAGGAAGAUUUCUGAGUUCAGUACCGUAAGAAUGAUGUAUACAAUAGGACUCAAGGUAUACUUAGCUUUAAAACUUUCAGAAGCAUCUUAGCUAUUAUGUAAUCUUCUUAUUUCCUGUGCUUUAUUGACCUUUGUUGUAGGGUGUUUUUUGGAAACUAGAGCUACACCGCGGUGGUCAAAAGCUUAUUGUUCCUGUAAGUCUUAACUUUCUUCUUCUUACAGAACAAAUGUUUAAACCUCUGGAGUAGAAUGUAUGAAUAGACCUUCACAAAUCCAUGACGAGUAUCAUUAACACGUGCAGGUUCUGCUCUCCGCAUAUAUAAGUCCAGUAUUUGCCACCGGAGCAUUCAUUGUUCCAACAUCUCUUUACUUUUUGCUAAAGGUGAGUGAUUGAACACCCUCUAAAUAACUACUUCUUCUCUCUGGUUAUAUGGUUUUUUGCCUUACUAGAGUUUAUACUGUUGGUCGCAGAAAUUUGUGGUGAAGCCGUAUAUGCAGAAAAGAGAAAAACGUAAGGCCUUGGAGAAUACCGAGAAAACUUAUGGCAAGGUGAUGAUUUCUUCUUAUUUUGGUAGCUUGUGUUCUUGUUAUGAAGUUUUUAUUCUUAAAUUGUGUGUUUUAGGUUCGGGAAGCAAGGGCAUCAGCUGAGAAAGCACAGCAAUUGCUACAAAACGUAGCCACGAGGAAGAAAAACCGGCAAGCUGAAACAGGCGGGCUCAUAGUAACAAAGGCCUUGUACGGUGACGCAAAGGCCAUAGAGAAAAGACACGAACACUUGGAAGAAGAGGUGGAUUCGGGAGUCAUUGACGUGACAGUGCCCAUGAACUUUCUUGUGAGUGACUCCGGGGAGCUCAAGCUCCAUGAGGGAGUGAAGAAAUCAGGGAUCAUGGGCUUUUGCGAUCCAUGUCCCGACCAACCUAAGCAGCUAUACGUUGCCUAUACUUACAAUUCUCGUACUUUUGAGGCAAUUGUGGGUGACUUUGAAGAGAUGGUUAUACCACAAGCUGGCCAGUGAGUAUGAAAAACUUUGUUGUUUUAAUUAUAUACGCAUAAGUUUAUUUGGGGUUUUGUAACUUCCAGUUUCAUGUUUAUUGAUCACAACUUGCCUUUGAGGCUCCUUUUUUUACAC
rnacentral:lncRNA from 1 species